rnacentral:rRNA from 1 species
UACGAAGGGUGCAAGCGUUACUCGGAAUUACUGGGCGUAAAGCGUGCGUAGGUGGUUUGUUAAGUCUGUUGUGAAAGCCCCGGGCUCAACCUGGGAAUGGCAAUGGAUACUGGCAAGCUAGAGUGCGGUAGAGGGUAGUGGAAUUCCCGGUGUAGCGGUGAAAUGCGUAGAGAUCGGGAGGAACACCAGUGGCGAAGGCGGCUACCUGGACCAGCACUGACACUGAGGAGCGAAAGCCAGGGGAGCAAACGGG